AAGGUACUCUCUCCGUCCGGAAUUAUUUGUCAUCAAAAUGGAUGAAAAUGGAUGUAUCUAGAACUAAAAUACAUCUAUUUCAAUGAUAAGUAUUUUCGGACGAAGGAAGUAUUUA
rnacentral:pre_miRNA from 1 species